rnacentral:rRNA from 1 species
UACAGAGGUCUCAAGCGUUGUUCGGAUUCAUUGGGCGUAAAGGGUGCGUAGGCGGCGCGGUAAGUCGGGUGUGAAAUCUUGGAGCUUAACUCCGAAACUGCAUUCGAUACUGCCGUGCUUGAGGACUGGAGAGGAGACUGGAAUUUACGGUGUAGCGGUGAAAUGCGUAGAUAUCAGGAAGAACACCCGUGGCUAAGGCGGCUCUCUAGUACGGUACUGGACGCUGAGACGCGAAAGCGUGGGGAGCGAACAGG